AUUGAACGCUGGCGGCAGGCCUAACACAUGCAAGUCGAGCGGAUGAAGGGAGCUUGCUCCUGGAUUCAGCGGCGGACGGGUGAGUAAUGCCUAGGAAUCUGCCUGGUAGUGGGGGAUAACGUCCGGAAACGGGCGCUAAUACCGCAUACGUCCUGAGGGAGAAAGUGGGGGAUCUUCGGACCUCACGCUAUCAGAUGAGCCUAGGUCGGAUUAGCUAGUUGGUGGUGUAAAGGCCUACCAAGGCGACGAUCCGUAACUGGUCUGAGAGGAUGAUCAGUCACACUGGAACUGAGACACGGUCCAGACUCCUACGGGAGGCAGCAGUGGGGAAUAUUGGACAAUGGGCGAAAGCCUGAUCCAGCCAUGCCGCGUGUGUGAAGAAGGUCUUCGGAUUGUAAAGCACUUUAAGGUGGGAGGAAGGGCAGUAAGUUAAUACCUUGCUGUGUUGACGUUACCAACAGAAUAAGCACCGGCUAACUUCGUG
rnacentral:rRNA from 1 species